UAACACAUAUUUGCUCCCGCUUAACCAAGACCUAUGGGAGGAUAAAUUACGUCUUAAUAUCGUUAAGUGAAGGGAUUUAACGAAAUAUAGUAUCGC
rnacentral:ncRNA from 1 species